UACAGAGGGUGCGAGCGUUGUUCGGAAUUACUGGGCGUAAAGGGCUCGUAGGCGGCCAACUAAGUCGGAUGUGAAAUCCCCAGGCUUAACCUGGGAACUGCAUCCGAUACUGGAUGGCUUGAAUCCGGGAGAGGGAUGCGGAAUUCCAGGUGUAGCGGUGAAAUGCGUAGAUAUCUGGAGGAACACCGGUGGCGAAGGCGGCAUCCUGGACCGGCAUUGACGCUGAGGAGCGAAAGCCAGGGGAGCAAACGGG
rnacentral:rRNA from 1 species